rnacentral:rRNA from 1 species
UACGUAGGGGGCAAGCGUUGUCCGGAAUCAUUGGGCGUAAAGAGCGUGUAGGCGGCUUGGCAAGUCUGGUGUGAAAUCUUGCGGCUCAACCGCAAGCGGUCACUGGAAACUGCCUCGCUAGAGUCCGGAAGAGGAGAGCGGAAUUCCUGGUGUAGCGGUGGAAUGCGCAGAUAUCAGGAAGAACACCCGUGGCGAAGGCGGCUCUCUGGGACGGUACUGACGCUGAGACGCGAAAGCGUGGGGAGCGAGCAGG